UCCCAGACUCCUACGGGAGGCAGCAGUGGGGAAUAUUGCACAAUGGGGGGAACCCUGAUGCAGCGACGCCGCGUGGGUGAAGGAGUACUUCGGUACGUAAAGCCCUAUCAGCAGGAAAGAAAAUGACGGUACCUGACUAAGAAGCCCCGGCUAACUACGUGCCAGCAGCCGCGGUAAUACGUAGGGGGCAAGCGUUAUCCGGAUUUACUGGGUGUAAAGGGAGCGUAGGCGGCAAGGCAAGUCUGAUGUGAAAACCCAGGGCCCAACCCUGGGACUGCAUUGGAAACUGUAUUGCUUGAGUACCGGAGAGGCAGGCGGAAUUCCUAGUGUAGCGGUGAAAUGCGUAGAUAUUAGGAGGAACACCAGUGGCGAAGGCGGCCUGCUGGACGGUAACUGACGCUGAGGCUCGAAAGCGUGGGGAGCGAACAGGAUUAGAUACCCGAGUA
rnacentral:rRNA from 1 species